rnacentral:rRNA from 1 species
AUGGAUGGGGGAAGUAGUAUCAAUAUUUUGUAUUAUGAUACAUUCCAUCGUAUGGGGUUGACAGAUAAGGAUCUUAAACCGUCGAAUACGGUAUUUCAUGGUGUGGUGCCUGGUAAGUCUGCAUAUCCUGUUGGUAAGAUAGCUCUGGAGGUAGCUUUUGGAGAUGACUACAAUUCAAGGUCAGAAACAUUAACAUUUGAGGUGGUGAAGAUCAAAAGUCCGUACCACGCUUUGUUUGGGCGGCCGGUUUAUGCUAAGUUUAUGGCAAGACCAUGUUAUGUUUACCUACAGCUUAAAAUGCCAGGUCAUAAGGGGACUAUCAUAGUACAUGGAAGUAGAAAGAUUGCUUUGGAGUGUGAAAAAGGCGAUGCGGCUUAUGCUGAGUCGGUUUGUGCCAUGGAGGAGUUAAAAUUCUAUAAGGAGCAAGUUGAUCCGGCAGACAUGACCUCCUUAAAAAAGCCAACCACGGAACUUGAUCCAGCAUUGAAGUUCAAAUCAGCUACAGUCACUAAAAUGGUUGACUUUGUUCCUGGCGAUUCAUCCAAAUAG